AUUGAACGCUGGCGGCAGGCCUAACACAUGCAAGUCGAACGGUAACAGGAAGAAGCUUGCUUCUUUGCUGACGAGUGGCGGACGGGUGAGUAAUGUCUGGGAAACUGCCUGACGGAGGGGGAUAACUACUGGAAACGGUAGCUAAUACCGCAUAACGUCGCAAGACCAAAAAGGGGGCCCUUCGGGCCUCUUGCCAUCGGAUGUGCCCAGAUGGGAUUAGCUAGGAGGUGGGGUAACGGCUCACCUAGGCGACGGUCCCUAGCUGGUCUACGAGGGUGACCAGACAGACGGGAACUGAGACACGGCACAGACACCUACGGGGGGCAGCAGUGGGGAAUAUUGCGCAAUGGGGGAGAGCCUGAUGCAGCCAUGCCGCGGGUAUGAAGAAGGCCUUCGGGUUGUAAAGUACUUUCAGCGGGGAGGAAGGGAGUAAAGUUAAUACCUUUGCUCAUUGACGUUACCCGCAGAAGAAGCACCGGCUAACUCCGUG
rnacentral:rRNA from 1 species